rnacentral:rRNA from 1 species
UUCAAGCGACUUAAGGGCAUCUGGUGGAUGCCUUGGCAUAUGGAGGCGAUGAAGGACGUGGCACGCUGCGUUAAGCCUCGGGGAGCUGCGAGCAGGCUUUGAUCCGGGGAUAUCCGAAUGGGGCAACCCACCUCGCAAGAGGUAUCCAACGCUGAAUACAUAGGCGUUGGAAGCGAACCCAGGGAACUGAAACAUCUCAGUACCUGGAGGAAAGGACAUCAAUUGAGACUCCGCUAGUAGUGGCGAGCGAACGCGGAAGAGGCCAGUGGUCUUGCAAAAUGGUACCGGAAGGCGUUGGAAAGCGCGGCCUGAGUGGGUGACAGCCCCGUACGGGAAACCUGAUGCGAGAUCCUUGAGUAAGGCGGGACACGUGCAAUCCUGUCUGAACAUGGGGGGACCACCCUCCAAGCCUAAGUACUCCCAUAUGACCGAUAGCGCACCAGUACCGUGAGGGAAAGGUGAAAAGCACCCCGACGAGGGGAGUGAAAUAGAACCUGAAACCGGAUGCUUACAAGCAGUCGGAGCGGGCUCACCUUUGGUGAGCCAGAUGUCAGUUGUCAGUUAUCAGUUGUCAGUGAAGAAAGUUUCUUCUGAUAACUGGCAUCUGACAACUGACAUCUGGGCUCGCCAGUGGCGAGCCCGUGACGGCGUACCUCUUGUAUAAUGGGUCAGCGACUUAGUUUGGCAAGCGAGCUUAAGCCGAUAGGUGGAGGCGCAGCGAAAGCGAGUCUGAAUAGGCCGUUUUAGUUUGUCGAAUUAGACCCGAAACUGGGUGAUCUAGGCAUGAGCAGGUUGAAGGUGGGGUAACACCCACUGGAGGACCGAACCGAUUACCGUUGAAAAGGUACCGGAUGACUUGUGCCUAGGGGUGAAAGGCCAAUCAAACCCAGAGAUAGCUGGUUCUCCGCGAAAUCUAUUUAGGUAGAGCGUCGGAUGAAUACCUUCGGGGGUAGAGCACUGGAUGGAUGCGGGGAACGCGAGUUCUACCAACUCUAACCAAACUCCGAAUACCGAAGAGUACUAUCCGGCAGACAGACGGCGGGUGCUAA